GCCAGCAGAGAGAGACAGGCCAGCAGAGAGAGACAGGCCAGCAGAGAGAGACAGACCAGCUGACAGAGAAAAGCUAGCAGACGGACCAGCAGACGGACCAGCAGACAGAGACAGACCACAAGUUAGGCUUCCCCAGCUGCAAGGGAGGCGCCGGCGCGUUCAACAGCCUGGUCAGAGGGGGGGGACUAAGAUUAAACCACCCCUAGUGAAGUUGUACCACAAAGCAACUGUGACCAGGAAGAGAGUCCAGGGCCUAGAGACAGAUAUCAUCCUCCGAGCACAAACACAUAUAAAGUCACGACCGCAACCUGACUAUGACAACACAGUCCACUGUGCUCUGCCCCCUGGCGUGAUCAGCGGAAGGAACCAUCUGGUUGAAGGGAUUGACAGAGUGGGGGAGGGUGAAAGAAAGGGGGAGAGAGAGGGUGAAGAGGUGGGUGUGAGUGAGUCUUUAUGGAGUCUGGGGUCGAGACUCUGAAGAGGAGGAGGGGCUGGCUUAUGACUCCACGCCUCCACCGGUGUUUGACCCUGAGGUAAACUGGGCUCAGACAUUCCAGGUGACCCCUGUUAACCUCCAGGCGAUGUGUUCUGAUUGGAUAGACCUCCGCUGUAACGUGUCUGGUAACCUGCUGCUCCGCCCUAGUGAUGCUCUGCCUGUCGUCAAGGCCUUCAUGGACAAACUAAACCACAGACACAACGGGUGUGUGUGUGUGUGUGUGUGUGUACAGUAUAUGUGUGUGUGGAAGUUUGUGUUAACCCUGUCCCUCCCUAGGCAUUUCUCCCUGGUGCGUGUGCUGAAUGUUGAGAGGAAAGUGGAUGGGGUUCAGGGCAGCAGGUACUUCCUGGAGCUGGAGCUAAGGGACAUAACUGGCCAACACCUUCGUCUGACACACUACAUCUAUGCUCUGAUUCGCCAUAAUCGAUCUCGCCCCAGGGGACUCCUUCGCCCUGCCCCUGAGACGUUGCUAUGCAAGCCUCUAGGCUUCCACUGGAACCCGACUGCCACUGUACACUUCAUAGUACCAGUAAAGAACCAGGCCCGCUGGGUGCAGCAGCUGAUAGUUGACAUGGAGGGUCUGUUCCAGACCACUGGAGACCCCUACUUCAACCUCAUCAUCACUGACUACAACAGCACUGACAUGGAUAUAGAGGCAGCACUAAAGGCAUCCAUACUGCACAGGUACAAGUACGUGAAGCUGAGUGGAAACUUUGAGCGUUCCGCUGGUCUAUAGGCUGGCAUCGACCUCAUCACUGAUGAGCACAGUAUAGUGUUUCUGUGUGACCUUCACAUCCACUUCCCCCCUCCAUCAUCGACUCAGUCAGGAAACACUGUGUGGAGGGACACAUGGCCUUCGCCCCCAUCGUCAUGAGACUGGACUGUGGGGCUACGCCCAGGAAGCCCAGAGGUUACUGGGAGGCGAAUGGGUUUGGUCUGCUGGGGAUCUAUAAGUCUGACCUGGAUGCAGCAGGAGGCAUGAACACACACGACUUCACUGACCGCUGGGACGGAGAGGACUGGGAGCUGCUGGACAGGAUUCUGCCGAUUCUGUCGAGUCUUGAGGUGGAGCGUAUCUACCUGAGGAACUUCCUGCAUCACUAGCAUUCUAAACGUGGUAUGUGGAACCGGCGCACUCAACACAGCGGCACGUAACCCACAACAACACAGCCAAAUUGUACAACGAUGCAGCCGUAACCCACUACGACGCAGCCGUAACCCACUACGACGCAGCUGUAACUCACGACGACACAUCCGUGGCCACAAGGAAAUCAAGGAAACUGCCGCACUUUAAUGUCCCCACUCCUCGCAUCAGCCAUUUCCAUCUGUCGACUGGUUAACGAGAGGGCAGGACAGAGGAGAUUCCUGACACACCAUUGGGUGAUAUCUCCUGUCACUCAAACUGUUUGAGGGUGUGGUGAUUAUGGAAAACAGAACAUAGUACUAACUGUCCUGGAAGAAGACACUCCUGAACUAGUGCAGAGGUACUUCAAUCUUAACAUGGAGGUCCACAGUACUACUGGUUAGCCACACACACACACACACACACACACACACACACACACACACACACACACACACACACACCUUGUUAAAUAUCAGUGAUCACACAGUAUUUGUAUGUAAUCAGGGCCUUGCUUAUUUAUUGACAAUGACAGGAUGCACCAAUGUUACACUUUACUCUAACAGUGUAAUACUGUAUUUCAGUUUAAAACAUGGUUUUAUUAAUAUAAUUAAUUAAGAUGGGGAAAGAGGGAUGACUUCUGAUAGAAGUGACUAUUAUUCAGGCUUGGGGGGGCUUACUGUACUGGAUGGGGAUAUUUCCCUUAAAGCAAUGUGCAUUAUGAAGCCCUGUAUUCACCAGAGGGAUUGCCAGAGCUCUACUACUGACUCUUGGAUGUGACAUUGUGCCUAUUGUAUGUGUCCUUCAAAGCGCUGUCCAUUUAAUUUUCUAUGGAUUACACUUAAGAGGAUCCCGCACCCAAACGCUUUUGGAGAUAUUUUGAGCAAGUUAACCAUUUUUUAUGCAACACUGUGCCUUCUCUACAGCUCCCCCAAAAUGAGAAAACUUUUGUAAUUGGAAAGUACAACCUGAACAUGUCAGUUAAAAAUGCAAAAUGUUGUUUUCUAUUUCACAAUAAGAUUAGGAGUAUCACAGGACCUUGUAUAUACAGUUGAAGUGGGAAGUUUACAUACACAGGUUGGAGUCAUUAAAACUCGUUUUUCAAACACUCCACAAAUUUUGGCAAGUC